rnacentral:rRNA from 1 species
CUACGGGUCGCACCAGUCGAGAAUCUUCCGCAAUGGGCGCAAGCCUGACGGAGCAAUGCCGCGUGAGGGAUGACGGCCCUAGGGUUGUAAACCUCUGUCAGAAGGGACGAAGAACGUGACGGUACCUUCAGAGGAAGCCAUGGCUAACUACGUGCCAGCAGCCGCGGUAAUACGUAGAUGGCGAACGUUAUCCGGAUUUACUGGGCGUAAAGGGUCCGUAGGGGGUCUGCCAAGUCUGAUGUGAAAUCCUGCGGCUCAACCGCGGAACUUGCUUGGAAACUGGCGGACUAGAGUGUGCGAGGGGUGAGCGGAAUUCCUGGUGUAGCGGUGGAAUGCGUAGAUAUCAGGAAGAACACCGAUGGCGAAGGCGGCUCACUGGCGCAUCACUGACCCUGAGGGACGAAAGCGUGGGUAGCAAACAGGAUUAGAUACCCCGGUAGUC